GACAGAGGUGCCGAGCGUUAGGCGGAAUCACUGGGCUUAAAGCGUGUGUAGGCGGAUUUGUAAGUACCUUGUGAAAUCCCACGGCUCAACCGUGGAACUGCUUGGUAUACUGCUUAUCUUGAGCCACUUAGGGGCAGUCGGAACAGACGGUGGAGCGGUGAAAUGCGUAGAUAUCAGGAAGAACACCAAUGGCGAAGGCAGCUCUCUGGGACGGUACUGACGCUGAGACGCGAAAGCGUGGGGAGCGAACAGG
rnacentral:rRNA from 1 species